rnacentral:rRNA from 1 species
CUAGUAAUCGCGAAUCAGAAUGUCGCGGUGAAUACGUUCCCGGGUCUUGUACACACCGCCCGUCACACCAUGAGAGUUGGCAAUACCCGAAGUCCGUGAGCUAACCGCAAGGAGGCAGCGGCCGAAGGUAGGGUCAGCGAUUGGGGUGAAGUCGUAACAAGGUAGCCGUAGGAGAACCUGCGGCUGGAUCACCUCCUUUCUAAGGAA